UUGCAAAAGUUUCAGGGGCAGGAUAAGGCCUUAUGGACAAGAUGAGCAUCAGCAGCACCUCCCUCCUCCAGGAAGUUAUCCUUAUCUACAAGUCUGGUUCCUUCUGGCUUGGGGCGUGUACUGUCCCUUUCCACAGAAGACUGUCUUCUGGCUGGAGCUGACACACCAAAGACGAAACCCCGAACACGUCUCACUGGAGCAGAGAGGAGCAGGGCAGAGUAGAGCAGACUGGUCCAGACCUAAGUAGGGAGAGCAGAGUAGAGCUGUGCACAGGGAGAGGGGUGUAGCCAUGGCUCCUUCAUGGUCAUGCUGGGCAGCUUCAUAAUUGAGCUGUAACACUCCAGAGCCAUCCAACUGCCGUGCUGUUAUCACAGAUGUGCUGUAUGACAGCUGAGCUGUUUGCACUGAAGAAAGUUUUCUUCACUGCACCCAACUGGGCAUUCCUGUUGGUGUUGAGUUGGUGCCAAUGAACAUCAGCUGACAGUCCAGGACACCCAGAGUGGGGCUCUGAAGUGAUCACUCGAUUUUCUGCCACUGUCCUGAAACCAACCUAUCUGGACUUGCACACACCCCUUGUGCUCCAAUUGUCUUCCCAGCUGUACCUGAGUGUCUCAGCUUCCUCAUGGGACCCAUUUGAAUGCUGAAUUGCCAUUCGACGCUUGCCUCUACUACCUCUGUUUGGCAGGUGCCUGAGAGAUCUCUUGGGCGCCAUGGCUCUGGUUGCUUUGGGGACUACUGUCCUGCCACAGGAGUCUCGCCCAAGGACUAGAUGGAACCAGAGAAGGUAGCCAAGCCCCUCUGGCACUGACACAGGACAAAAUGACCUACUUGAGUGCUGAUGAGUGCUGACUGUUGACAGGGUCUGAUCAAAUGAGGAAAAUGUAGAUCCUGAGAAAGAAGACAUACCUUCAGAAAAGGGGUCCUGGUGGCUAACUGGGCUCAAGUUUAAGAGUAGAGCCUAACAGUCAUUCUGACAUGAAGUCUUUCUAGCAAGCCACACUUCAGGGAGAAGCCUGCAUUGAGCUGCCUGUCUCCUACACUGAACUUCCCACCUGCAUUGUGUUCCUGCCAACUGAGCCAGCUUUUAUAAAUGAGUUCCUGGAAUAGUGUUUCAAUCAAUAAAAUUGAGGGUUUCCCUGCUCGGUUGGAGCUGUGCUGCUAUAGCCCAUCAGCAUCUCCACCAACCAAUCAGAGGCUCCAUUCUGACCAAUCAGGACAGUGCUUUUUGGACCAGACUGCAAGAAUUUGGAGUCUUCAUUUGCAUGAGGACAAUCAGGGACCACGGAUGGGGACUUCUGUCUAGAUAAGUCAUCCUCCCACUGCUAGGAGAACACACUUCCCCUUUCCACCAGGGACUGAAGACUGAAUUUCCCCAGCUGGAGCUGAAACACUGAAGAUCUCUCACCGGAGCAGAGUGGAACAGACAGGACUGGACCAGAACAGGUGGGACAGACCAGAGCACAGCACAGCUGUCUAGCCGGAGAGGGUUGUGGCCCAAAGGCUGCCUCAUAGGCUUGCUGUGCUGCUUCAUAACAGUUGAAACACUUUCCAGCUGUUUCACAGCUGUACUGUAUCACAACUGAGCUGUUUGUAUCAAAUAAAGUUUUACUCUUCACUGCA